AGGACGAACGCUGGCGGCGUGCUUAACACAUGCAAGUCGAGCGGAAAGGCCCUUCGGGGUACUCGAGCGGCGAACGGGUGAGUAACACGUGAGCAAUCUGCCCUUAGCUUCGGGAUAGCUCCGGGAAACCGGAAUUAAUACCGAAUACGACCUCGGCCGACAUCGGCCCUGGUGGAAAGUUUUUCGGCUAGGGAUGAACUCGCGGCCUAUCAGCUUGUUGGUGGGGUAAUGGCCUACCAAGGCGACGACGGGUAGCCGGCCUGAGAGGGCGACCGGCCACACUGGGACUGAGACACGGCCCAGACUCCUACGGGAGGCAGCAGUGGGGAUAUUGCGCAAUGGGCGAAAGCCUGACGCAGCGACGCCGCGUGGGGGAUGAAGGCCUUCGGGUUGUAAACCCCGUUUCAGCAGGGACGAAGCGAAAGUGACGGUACCUGCAGAAGAAGCGCCGGCUAACUACGCGCCAGCAGCCGC
rnacentral:rRNA from 1 species